ensembl:lncRNA
AAAUGUAAUUUAGCUGCUGCUUGUGCAGCUAAACAGGAUGAAAGGAACAUGUUUAACUCUCACACAAAACCCAUUUUUACGUCCACAGUGAUGAUGGCACUGAAAUCACGGCAAACGUGACGUAUGUAUACAAAGCGGAAGAUGUCAACCACCCUAGUGGUUUUCUACAGGAAGUCUUAAAAGUCUCAGGUAUGCUGCUUUUGUUACCAUACAGUUGUCAUUUCUAUGUUUAUUUAUGACAGUGAGUUAUCAAACACCAUGUAACGUGUAUAAUACUCAAUCUCGAAAACACUUAUAUAUCAAUGUUAUAUGACAUAUUACAAGUUUAUAAUCCCUCUAAAAUGUAUUUCCAUUUCUAUUCUAGGUCUCCUGACCCCCACUGUUGCCCCAACAACAACAACAACUACCAACACCACACCACUUCCUACCCUUUUGACUUCAGUGACAUCAACAACUAGAUUCGGCACAGUGGGAGUUUUUGUUAAACUGAUAUUCAAGGUCAAAACACCAGUCCCCACUGAGGAUGAUGUCCUUGGUGCCGUCAAGAAGCAAUUGUCUCCUCAAUUCACGACCACUCAAACCACCUUCCAGAAUGCAACUUAUAUCAGUGAGUUCAACAAAUUAGGCUUCAUGAAGACAUUUUUUUCCACUCUAUAAAAUAAUCUCUUAAUAAGUAAACAUUCAACUGCUCCUGCUAUCUAAAUACUUUUUGAAUGUUUUUGAAUGUUGUUGAAACUCCUAAAUUGUAGCAGUUCAUUUGAUCUGUUGCUAUAGUGACCAUUUUUUUUGUGUGCUCACAGAACUUACAGAUACUUCAUUUGCCAUCGACCUUGGUUUCAAAAUAACCAAUGUAACGCAGGAGUCUCUAAGUAAUAGACUCACACUCACCAAUGAGACCGAAACCCAGAUACAGGAUUCAAUUAACAGACUAGUAAGAUACUGUACUUCUACACAUAAGAUACAUCCAUGGUCAUGUUCAGGUCAUGAUAGUAAUUGACAACUUGAUGUUUUGUCCCCUUUUAGCUCCAUAAGGUUCUCAGUGAACCAGACGGCAAACAGUUUCAAUUUCCCAACGCCAACUUCAUGUAAGUACAACGUCAUAACCUUGAACCAACCCGUCUUUCUCAACUGCACUCUUUAGAAUUUCUGCAGAUUUCAUUUAGCUGCUGCUUGUGCAGCUAAACAGGAUGAAAGGAACAUGUUUAACUCUCACACAAAACCCAUUUUUACGUCCACAGUGAUGAUGGCACUGAAAUCACGGCAAACGUGACGUAUGUAUACAAAGCGGAAGAUGUCAACCACCCUAGUGGUUUUCUACAGGAAGUCUUAAAAGUCUCAGGUAUGCUGCUUUUGUUACCAUACAGUUGUCAUUUCUAUGUUUAUUUAUGACAGUGAGUUAUCAAACACCAUGUAACGUGUAUAAUACUCAAUCUCGAAAACACUUAUAUAUCAAUGUUAUAUGACAUAUUACAAGUUCAUAAUCCCUCUAAAAUGUAUUUCCAUUUCUAUUCUAGGUCUCCUGACCCCCACUGUUGCCCCAACAACAACAACAACUACCAACACCACACCACUUCCUACCCUUUUGACUUCAGUGACAUCAACAACUAGGUAAGCAAGAUCAUUUAUUAUAAUGUUUUCAUACAAUUCAAUGAACACUUUGUCAAACAAGGAACCUUUGCAACAAUGAACCAUGUAUAUCCAUGCUUGUGUCGUUAACUACUGAUGUUUUAAUUAAAAGCAUCCAAAAUGUCAACCUUUCUUUAGAAAAGCUCUUUGAGUGCAUCAAUCCGUCAAAAGGCUUAAUAUAAAUCCAAUCAAUUAUAAUUAAUGUGCUUGCUGAAGGCAAGACCACUAGAUUUCUUACAUACUUUUUCUAAUUAUUUUAACAUUUUCUAAACGUUCUAAACCAAAACAAUUUAAAUUAGUAUAAAUUAGCAUAUAAUAACCCACCAAAAAUAAUAUUAACUCUUGAACCGUUCCAGCUAGAGAGACCGAACCAACUUUCAUAUGUUCAGGCUAUCCUUUCCUAUCCUAUCCUAUCCAUCAAUCAAUCUUUCCAUCAACUUUCUUUUUCCAAUUAUAACCAGUCACUACCAUUACUACUGCAGUGAUUACCAAUCCUGUAACUUAUUUUACAACCAUGAUUACUUUAAGACAAGCUAGCAAAUACACACAUUUUCUUUAGGAAAUGUAAUUUUCCAUAUAUUAUUAUUUUCUCUUAGAUUCGGCACAGUGGGAGUUUUUGUUAAACUGAUAUUCAAGGUCAAAACACCAGUCCCCACUGAGGAUGAUGUCCUUGGUGCCGUCAAGAAGCAAUUGUCUCCUCAAUUCACGACCACUCAAACCACCUUCCAGAAUGCAACUUAUAUCAGUGAGUUCAACAAAUUAGGCUUCAUGAAGACAUUUUUUUCCACUCUAUAAAAUAAUCUCUUAAUAAGUAAACAUUCAACUGCUCCUGCUAUCUAAAUACUUUUUGAAUGUUUUUGAAUGUUGUUGAAACUCCUAAAUUGUAGCAGUUCAUUUGAUCUGUUGCUAUAGUGACCAUUUUUUUGUGUGCUCACAGAACUUACAGAUACUUCAUUUGCCAUCGACCUUGGUUUCAAAAUAACCAAUGUAACGCAGGAGUCUCUAAGUAAUAGACUCACACUCACCAAUGAGACCGAAACCCAGAUACAGGAUUCAAUUAACAGACUAGUAAGAUACUGUACUUCUACACAUAAGAUACAUCCAUGGUCAUGUUCAGGUCAUGAUAGUAAUUGACAACUUGAUGUUUUGUCCCCUUUUAGCUCCAUAAGGUUCUCAGUGAACCAGACGGCAAACAGUUUCAAUUUCCCAACGCCAACUUCAUGUAAGUACAACGUCAUAACCUUGAACCAACCCGUCUUUCUCAACUGCACUCUUUAGAAUUUCUGCAGAUUUCAUUUAGCUGCUGCUUGUGCAGCUAAACAGGAUGAAAGGAACAUGUUUAACUCUCACACAAAACCCAUUUUUACGUCCACAGUGAUGAUGGCACUGAAAUCACGGCAAACGUGAUGUAUGUAUACAAAGCGGAAGAUGUCAACCACCCUAGUGGUUUUCUACAGGAAGUCUUAAAAGUCUCAGGUAUGCUGCUUUUGUUACCAUACAGUUGUCAUUUCUAUGUUUAUUUAUGACAGUGAGUUAUCAAACACCAUGUAACGUGUAUAAUACUCAAUCUCGAAAACACUUAUAUAUCAAUGUUAUAUGACAUAUUACAAGUUUAUAAUCCCUCUAAAAUGUAUUUCCAUUUCUAUUCUAGGUCUCCUGACCACCACUGUUGCCCCAACAACAACUACCAACACCACACCACUUCCUACCCUUUUGACUUCAGUGACAUCAACAACUAGGUAAGCAAGAUCAUUUAGUAUAAUGUUUUCAUACAAUUCAAUGAACACUUUGUCAAACAAGGAAACUUUGCAACAAUGAACCAUGUAUAUCCAUGCUUGUGUCGUUAACUACUGAUGUUUUAAUUAAAAGCAUCCAAAAUGUCAACCUUUCUUUAGAAAAGCUCUUUGAGUGCAUCAAUCGGUCAAAAGGCUUAAUAUAAAUCCAAUCCAUUAUAAUUAAUGUGCUUGCUGAAGGCAAGACCACUAGAUUUCUUACAUACUUUUUCUAAUUAUUUUAACAUUUUCUAAACGUUCUAAACCAAAACAAUUUAAAUUAGUAUAAAUUAGCAUAUAAUAACCCACCAAAAAUAAUAUUAACUCUUGAACCGUUCCAGCUAGAGAGACCGAACCAACUUUCAUAUGUUCAGGCUAUCCUUUCCUAUCCUAUCCUAUCCAUCAAUCAAUCUUUCCAUCAACUUUCUUUUUCCAAUUAUAACCAGUCACUACCAUUACUACUGCAGUGAUUACCAAUCCUGUAACUUAUUUUACAACCAUGAUUACUUUAAGACAAGCUAGCAAGUACACACAUUUUCUUUAGGAAAUGUAAUUUUCCAUGUAUUAUUAUUUUCUCUUAGAUUCGGCACAGUGGGAGUUUUUGUUAAACUGAUAUUCAAGGUCAAAACACCAGUCCCCACUGAGGAUGAUGUCCUUGGUGCCGUCAAGAAGCAAUUGUCUCCUCAAUUCACGACCACUCAAACCACCUUCCAGAAUGCAACUUAUAUCAGUGAGUUCAACAAAUUAGGCUUCAUGAAGACAUUUUUUUCCACUCUAUAAAACAAUCUCUUAAUAAGUAAACAU